AUUGAACGCUGGCGGCAUGCCUUACACAUGCAAGUCGAACGGUAACGGGCCUUCGGGUGCCGCCGAGUGGCGAACGGGUGAGUAAUACAUCGGAACGUGCCCAAGCGUGGGGGAUAACGAGACGAAAGCUUUUCUAAUACCCCAUACGAUCUUCGUGUGAAAACACGGGACCGCAAGGCCUUGCGGGGACGGGGCAGCCGAUGGGCGAUUAGGGAGUUGGUGGGAUAGUAGCUUACCAAGCCGACGAUCUGUAGCUGGUCUGAGAGGAUGAGCAGCCACACUGGGACUGAGACACGGCCCAGACUCCUACGGGAGGCAGCAGUGGGGAAUUUUGGACAAUGGGCGCAAGCCUGAUCCAGCCAUGCCGCGUGCAGGAUGAAGGCCUUCGGGUUGUAAACUGCUUUUGUACGGAACGAAAAGCCUUCUUUUAAUACAGGAGGGUCAUGACGGUACCGUAAGAAUAAGCACCGGCUAACUACGUG
rnacentral:rRNA from 1 species